rnacentral:rRNA from 1 species
AUUGAACGCUAGCGGGAUGCUUUACACAUGCAAGUCGAACGAGUGGCGGACGGGUGUGCAAUGUAUGGGUUGUGCCCGAUUCAGGGGGAUAACUACUGGAAACUGUAGCUUAUACCGCAUACUACCGGAUUACCCAUAUGGAAUUAGCUAGUAGGUGAGGUAAUGGCCCACCUAGGCGACUAUCCCUAGCUGGUCUGAGAGGAUGAGCAUCCACACUGAGACUUCGGCACGGUCCGGACUCCGACGGAGGCAACAGUAGCGAAUAUUGCACAAUGGACGCAAGCAUGGUGCGGACAUGCCGGGUGUAAGAAGAGGGCCGUAGAGUUGUGAAGUACUUUAAGUCGGGAGGCGUGACCAACAGAAGGAGCACCGGCUGACUCCGUGCCAGCAGCCGCGGUAAUUC